AACGCAUAUUGCGCCCACUAGUAUUCUGGUGGGCAUGCCUAUUCGAGCGUCAUUUCAACCCUUAAGCCCUGUUGCUUAGUGUUAGGAGCCUACUACCUUAUGGCGUAGCUCCCUAAAGGCAGUGGCGGUGUUAGGUACACUCGUAGCGUAGUAAUUCUUUUUCUCGCUCCUGUUGUGUACCUAGGGCCUGCCGUAAAACCCCUAUACUUCUAGUGGUUGACCUCGGAUUAGGUAGGAAUACCCGCUGAACUUAA
rnacentral:misc_RNA from 1 species